ensembl:lncRNA
GUUGCCAAAAUAAGGCAGAGAAAAAAACCUGUGCAGAACAUUCCAUGCGGGAACAGAGCCAGUCGUCCGCACAGGUAAAGCUGCAGGGCUGCAUUAACAACAGGCUUGUAGGGGUUUUCUGGAGGGGGAUGUUUAUGUUGGCCUGUGAGGUGUGGUGGGUGAAUUCUGUCUGGGGAUGAUUGAUGCAUGUCUAAUGUGAUGAACCAUGACCCUGCAUCCCAGAGAAACUGUGGCUUUUCCUCAUUGAUCCAGUUUUUUGUAGGGAGGGGAGGUCCCGGUGCUUGUCUCAGUAGCUACGUGAAGACUGCGGGGGUUACUCCACAGGGAAGACUUAACUCUGGUGCAUCCAGGAAAAUCAGAACUUGGUACUAAAUAAUUAUAGCUAUCCAAAGGCAGCAUGGAUGUGCUUUUUUAUUUAAAUAUCCUUUAAAAUCUGCCAAAUCUUCUCAGGCUUGGACGAUGUGAGAGCGGCAAGCGCUGGUUCCCAUGCUUGCAUGGGACUUAUUGCAUGGACUGCAACAAGGGCAGUAAGAACAGGGCAGUAAGAACAGCUCCAGGGUCCAUCCCUGAGUAUUACCACGAUGGAUUUCUGCUGAGAGCAUGAGGGUGUGCGGUGAUCUGUGGAAAAAUGUGAAUCUUGGCAGCAGUCCCUAUUUCAAAAUAUCUGGGAAACACUGAGCCAGGAGGUUGAAAAUACAUCUUUGAGGGUUCUUUCUGCAGAAGGAAAACCAGCCUUGAACUUCCAUUGCGACAAGUGUUUGAGAGAAAAAAUGUGCAAUGCAGAAUUAAAAGGGACACUGAUUGAAACAACAGCAGAGAGGAAUAAGGCUGAGUGAAUUUUAAUAGCCUCUUGAUUUGGAUCUUUUUGUUUGCAUACUUACAGGCAUUUUACCUCUGCAAGAGUAAUGCAGAUACUAUACUAAAUGCAAAAAAACCCAACCAGCAAAUCCAAUAACUUGCCUGAGGGAGAUGAAAAAUGCACCAACAUAAUUGGAUAAGCUUUCUGCUGUAUUCCAGCCUUAAAACUGGAGUAGGGCCUUCUGUCUGUGGCGUGUGUUGGAGGAUGUUUUGCUAUAAGAUGGAUAUUAAGGCAGAGCUCAAGGAGGACUAAAGCAUCUAAAAUAUUUAAUACUCCUCUCGGAGAGCAGGUCAGCAAAUGAGCAGUGGUUUUGGUUGGUAGGAUGAACACAGUGUAAGGCAAAGUUGUUGUUAGCUGGUGUGAUUUUUGUAGUAUUGGAGUUCCAAUUGUACCAAAUUGUAUCACAGCUGUUUUGUUUGUUGUGUUAAGGGCUAUCAAACCCAGAAUGAAUGAGACAGCUACAGUCUUAAAUACAAGUUACUAAUAGCUCAUUGUAUAGAGACUUAGUUUUACUCUGGCAAAGGCUCCCUCCAAAAACCAGACCCAAUGUUCAGCCAAGUUGUAUUUUACCCACAUAAGCAUAAACCUGAGAAAGGAGCAAUCCUGUAUUCAUCUGCAGUGCUCCGUGCAGAGCAGGCAUCGCCUUGAUAAGGAUUUCUUGCUACUGCUACAAUACUAUGUUACAUGACAGAUAAUCUUGUGCCCAAACCCUGGGCAAGUGUCCAAGGUGAAAUAGGUGCAAACGUAUCAUUCAUACACAGGCUGAAGGGCUUGCACUGUGUACCUGAUGUGGUUUGUAUGUGGAAUCACGAGCCCAGUCAUCCCCCCUCUGCUGGGUACAAACUUCAUUGUUGACUUUAGGGAGAGCUGGGUGUUACAACAUGCUUAUUUUUUAUGGAAACAACCAUCCAAAGUCCUUGAAUGAAAAAAA